rnacentral:rRNA from 1 species
GACGAACGCUGGCGGCGCGCCUAACACAUGCAAGUCGAACGGAGUCAAGAGGAGCUUGCUUUUCUUGACUUAGUGGCGAACGGGUGAGUAACGCGUGAGUAACCUGCCCUGGAGUGGGGGACAACAGUUGGAAACGACUGCUAAUACCGCAUAAGCCCACGGAUCCGCAUGGAUCUGCGGGAAAAGGAUUUAUUCGCUUCAGGAUGGACUCGCGUCCAAUUAGCUAGUUGGUGAGGUAACGGCCCACCAAGGCGACGAUUGGUAGCCGGACUGAGAGGUUGAACGGCCACAUUGGGACUGAGACACGGCCCAGACUCCUACGGGAGGCAGCAGUGGGGGAUAUGGCACAAUGGGGGAAACCCUGAUGCAGCGACGCCGCGUGGAGGAAGAAGGUUUUCGGAUUGUAAACUCCUGUCGUUAGGGACGAUAAUGACGGUACCUAACAAGAAAACACCGGCUAACUACGU